rnacentral:rRNA from 1 species
AUUGAACGCUGGCGGCAGGCUUAACACAUGCAAGUCGAGCGGGGUGAUGGUGCUUGCACUAUCACUUAGCGGCGGACGGGUGAGUAAUGCUUAGGAAUCUGCCUAUUAGUGGGGGACAACAUCUCGAAAGGGAUGCUAAUACCGCAUACGUCCUACGGGAGAAAGCAGGGGAUCACUUGUGACCUUGCGCUAAUAGAUGAGCCUAAGUCGGAUUAGCUAGUUGGUGGGGUAAAGGCCUACCAAGGCGACGAGCUGUAGCGGGUCUGAGAGGAUGGUCCGCCACACUGGGGAUGAGACACGGCCCAGACUCCUACGGGAGGCAGCAGUGGGGAAUAUUGGACAAUGGGGGGAACCCUGAUCCAGCCAUGCCGCGUGUGUGAAGAAGGACUUAUGGUUGUAAAGCACUUUAAGCGAGGAGGAGGCUCUUUUGGUUAAUACCCAAGAUGAGUGGACGUUACUCGCAGAAUAAGCACCGGCUAACUCUGUGCCAGCUGCCGCGGUAA